AGCAAAAUGAGGAAGUCAUACCAUCUGAAAAUGUACUGUUGAUAAUUCUGGGAUGGUCUUCAAAGUUCUCUGAUUGCU
rnacentral:snoRNA from 1 species